GAUUGAACGCUGGCGGCAUGCCUAACACAUGCAAGUCGAACGGGAGUAGCAAUACUCUAGUGGCGGACGGGUGAGGAAUACGUAGGAAUUUGCCCUUAAGUGGGGGAUAACCCGGGGAAACCCGGAUUAAUACCGCAUGACCUCGAAAGAGCAAAGUGGGGGAUCGCAAGACCUCACGCUUUUGGAGAAGCCUACGUCGGAUUAGCUAGUUGGUGAGGUAAUGGCUCACCAAGGCGACGAUCCGUAACUGGUCUGAGAGGAUGAUCAGUCACACCGGAACUGAGACACGGUCCGGACUCCUACGGAGGCAGCAGUGGGGAAUAUUGGACAAUGGG
rnacentral:rRNA from 1 species